AUGAACAACAAUGGAAAUAAAAUAAUGGGAGACUCAUUGGACAACAAUGAAGAAAAAAUAAUGGAAGACUCAUUGAACAACAACAAAGAGGAAGUACUGGAAGACUCCUUGAACAAUAAUGAAGAAAAAAGAGAAAGACCAAUAUUGAAUUUUGAUUUAAAUGAAGAGGCUGAAUAUGAAUUUGAUUUGAAUAAAUUUCCAGAAGAAUGGGAAGAGUCUUCUCAAGCUCGGGAGGAGUUUCGUCCCUUGAUUAAAUAG